rnacentral:rRNA from 1 species
AUUGAACGCUGGCGGCAGGCCUAACACAUGCAAGUCGAACGGUAACAGGAAGAAGCUUGCUUCUUUGCUGACGAGUGGCGGACGGGUGAGUAAUGUCUGGGAAACUGCCUGAUGGAGGGGGAUAACUACUGGAAACGGUAGCUAAUACCGCAUAAUGUCGCAAGACCAAAGAGGGGGACCUUCGGGCCUCUUGCCAUCGGAUGUGCCCAGAUGGGAUUAGCUAGUAGGUGGGGUAACGGCUCACCUAGGCGACGAUCCCUAGCUGGUCUGAGAGGAUGACCAGCCACACUGGAACUGAGACACGGUCCAGACUCCUACGGGAGGCAGCAGUGGGGAAUAUUGCACAAUGGGCGCAAGCCAGAUGCAGCUAUGCCGCGUGUAUGAAGAAGGCCUUCGGGUUGUAAAGUACUUUCAGCGGGGAGGAAGGGAGUAAAGUUAAUACCUUUGCUCAUUGACGUUACCCGCAGAAGAAGCACCGGCUAACUCCGUG